rnacentral:ncRNA from 1 species
AUCUUCAGGGCAGGGUGUAAUUCCCUACCGGUGGUAAAGCCCACGAGCCGUUUGUGCAUGAUUUGGUGAAAUUCCAAAGCCGACAGUAAAGUCUGGAUGAAAGAAGAUA